rnacentral:rRNA from 1 species
CGUGUAGGCGGUUCACCAAGUUGGGUGUGAAAGCCCUCGGCUUAACCGAGGAAGUGCGCCCAAAACUAGUGAACUCGAGUACCGGAGAGGGUGGCGGAAUUCCCGGUGUAGAGGUGAAAUUCGUAGAUAUCGGGAGGAACACCAGCGGCGAAGGCGGCCACCUGGACGGAUACUGACGCUGAGACGCGAAAGCGUGGGGAGCAAACA